rnacentral:tRNA from 1 species
UUAGAGAUUUAUAUAAUUGCUUACAACAAAUAUUUAUUUGUCUCUUUA